AUUGAGCGCUGGCGGCAUGCCUUACACAUGCAAGUCGAACGCCAGCACGGGUGCUUGCACCUGGUGGCGAGUGGCGAACGGGUGAGUAAUACAUCGGAACAUGUCCUGUAGUGGGGGAUAGCCCGGCGAAAGCCGGAUUAAUACCGCAUACGAUCUACGGAUGAAAGCGGGGGACCUUCGGGCCUCGCGCUAUAGGGUUGGCCGAUGGCUGAUUAGCUAGUUGGUGGGGUAAAGGCCUACCAAGGCGACGAUCAGUAGCUGGUCUGAGAGGACGACCAGCCACACUGGGACUGAGACACGGCCCAGACUCCUACGGGAGGCAGCAGUGGGGAAUUUUGGACAAUGGGCGAAAGCCUGAUCCAGCAAUGCCGCGUGUGUGAAGAAGGCCUUCGGGUUGUAAAGCACUUUUGUCCGGAAAGAAAUCCUUGGCCCUAAUACGGUCGGGGGAUGACGGUACCGGAAGAAUAAGCACCGGCUAACUACGUG
rnacentral:rRNA from 1 species